AGAGCUCCCGAGUCCACGCACCUCGCAGGCAGUACGUUUACCUCAGAGCUCCCGAGUCCACCGACCUCGCAGGCAGCGCGUUUACGUCAGAGCUCCCGAGUCCACGCACCUCGCAGGCAGUGUAUUUACAUGGAAAUUGGAUCGAGGCACUGACGUUUAAAUCUUGGCUCCUGCUCCUGCCGUCUAGACAAAGGGCGCACCCAUUGCCGUCUCAGACACCAGAGGCUCCCACUUGACCAGGGGAAGCUGUUCAUGUUCUAUCCUGCGUGUUCUCGAGAAAGUUUUGAUGACAGAAAACAUCACACAGAAAGGGGAAGGCAUCGCAAGUUUCCAGCUCCAUGGAUUUUUGCAAACUGAGCACAUUUGUGGGCCAGGAGUGGGGCCCACAGCGAGAAUAUCCUUCCUGCUGCUCCUGCCAUCCAUCCACCAGCACAGCCAGUUCCCAGCUGUGGAACACACAGCUGCGAAAACCAGAGCGCAGGAUGUUCUUGAACGACAUGGAAUCAACCCAAAUAAAAUGCCUCCUGCUGUGAAAAAUCAUAGAACGACCACUUCAGAUUUCCAGGCUCCGGGAUAGCAAAGCGUCUGUGAAUUCUACAAGACAGCCAGUUCCCACUGGGAGCUGAUCCAUUUUGUCUAAAGCACCAACUGUUUUGAGCAAUAAGCCAAAAACAAGGUUUUACAGAUGGUUCGUCUCCCACAAAGGCAAAAUAACCUAUGGGGCAUCAUUUGACAACUCCACACGUGGGCACUGGGACAGGAACAGGUGGCCAGGCCUUUCCUUCCCUGUGGUUUGUUUCCUCCCUUUCUGGCCGCAGACCUCACUCAGUUCAGUACGUGCCAAAGGCCUGGCCUCAGCAUCUGCCAUACGCCUCGGAGCCCAGCCCCACUCAGCUUCCAAGUCACCGGGCCUGCCUGGAGCACCGAGUCUCUGCACCGGCUCUUCCCUCGAGACAGCAUCUUCUCCAUGGCUCUGGAGGGCCACACGCCCACCUUACACUUCCUCACCUGCUCAUUUGCAACUGGAAGCUUGACGAGUGUGAUCAGCCAGAGAGUUGAUUCACCAGAAUGUCUGCAUUCUCUUACGGGCUUUGCAAAUGCCAAAUCGUCGAGUGUUUCUGCUUUUAAAGUUUAAAUCCUCUCGCUGAGCUGUGCACUGUUGAGUUGAUCACGAUGAGAACAGUGAGUGUCUCUCACCUGUGGCUGCACUUGCUGGAAGCACCGCCUGCUCUGGCCUCUUUGCUCCAGAACAUUCCCUGCUGAACAGUGACACCAGGGAAGGCCAAGGAUGGGCACACAAGGCUCAGUCCUUCACCUGAUGGCGGCUUGGCCAUGUUCAUCUUUCCCUUUUCUCAAAGACCUGUGUGGGGCCAGAGAAAGCUGGGGUUUCCGGUGGCCUGCAGUGUGGCAGAAAGCAGAGCCUUCCACUGGGAAAAGGGGAAAAAGGGAAUUCUUCCGAAGAGAAGGAUGAAGCCAGCAGCAGGGGUCCCGGCAGGCCUGACCCCCAUGGAGCUGAUGAGGCCGAGUGUCAGGAAGCACUCCCAUUGUCCUCGAAAACAGACACAGGUCAACCUGCGUUACGGGGUCUGCGAGGUCAUCAGAUAACCCCACAGUGUCGAAUACUGUAACUACAUGCCUGCCUAAGAUGACCUGGUAUACUGUAGGUGCACACAAGAUUCUCCAUAGUGAAAGUACAUAUACAAUUGUUGCUAAUUUUUGAUCCUAGAAAAUCCACUGGAUUGAUACUUUAGAAGAGGAUAAUGGAUAAAAUCAAUCGAUCGGAAAAUUCAAAUAUUUAGAAAAUACUA
ensembl:lncRNA LINC01115 long intergenic non-protein coding RNA 1115